rnacentral:tRNA from 1 species
AAUAAAGUAAGCUAACUUACAAGCUAGUGGGCUCAUACCCCAAAAAUGUUUAUUUCCUUUAUUA